GACAGAGGGUGCAAACGUUGUUCGGAAUUACUGGGCGUAAAGCGUGUGUAGGCGGCCGCGUAAGUCGGAUGUGAAAGCCCUGGGCUCAACCCAGGAAGUGCACUCGAUACUGCGUGGCUCGAGUACUGGAGAGGUUGGUGGAAUUCUCGGUGUAGAGGUGAAAUUCGUAGAUAUCGAGAGGAACACCUGCGGCGAAGGCGGGUUGCUGGGCUGACACUGACGCUGAUGCGCGAAAGCUAGGGGAGCGAACGGG
rnacentral:rRNA from 1 species